GUGAGUCAUCGAAUCUUUGAACGCACAUUGCGCCCUCUGGUAUUCCGGAGGGCAUGCCUGUCCGAGCGUCAUCGCUGUGCCUCAAGCCCGGCUUGUGUGUUGGGCCUCCCGUCCGCUGGACGGGGACCCGAAAGGCAGUGGCGGCGUCGCGUCCCGAUCCUUGAAGCGUAUGGGGCUUUGUCACCCGCUUGGAGGUCGGCCGACCCCGUAGCCCAUCGUGGAUCUUCCACACAUUUUUCUGAUGGACCUCGGAUCAGGUAGGGAUACCCGCUGAACUUAAGCAUAUCAAUAAGCGGAGGA
rnacentral:misc_RNA from 1 species